rnacentral:lncRNA from 1 species
AUUGGUCGCAUGCAGUUGUAGUUGCAUGCAAAUACAAAUUCGGCAUGUUGUUCGAUGUAUUUAACUUCAACUGCUACAGUAAAAACUGCAGGAGGAAAUUCAACUACAGCAAUUGGAACUAUGUCCAAAUUGGCCGCAGUUCCAACUGCAGUAGUUGGAAAGAGUAAUUUUAAAUAAAAAAUAUGUUUACCUCCUUAACUAAUUUUUAAACAAAAAAUAUAUUUUUUCACAUUGGAGAUAAUCUCACCAUUAUAUAUAUAAUGAUAAAAUUUUAAAAAUUAUUUCUCAAAGCACUUUCUACUAUAUUGAACCAAACAGAAUGCAUGAAAUUACAACUGCCGUAUUUUCAAUUGCUUAUAUUUCUAACUAUACUGUAUUUAUAAUUACAUCAAACCAAACGGUCCCUAAUACUCUUUUCGUAGUAACACAAACAAAGAAAAAGUUCCUAUGUGUGAAACAACCGUUGUACUCUAAAAGCUUAAGCUGUUAGAGAACGGUGUUUAAACAUUUUUAUAUUUAACACCCCCCCUCACGUUUGGGCUCGCCACUUUUUAGUCGGUCCAUAACGUGGGCUUGAUAAAUGGGAGGAAAUUAAUUAUACUAGGGGUCUGGCAUGACUUGAACUCAGGACCUCCUACUCUGAUACCAUAUGAAACAACCGUUGUACUCUAAAAGUUUAAGUUGUUAGAGAAUGGUGUUUAAACAUUUUUAUAUUUAAUACUAUGUCUCUAAAACGCUUAAGUAGAAAAUAAUUCAAUAAUAAUUUUUUGUUUAAGCCAAAUAGUAAACGAUUGAUCAUUACCCGAACUAUUGAUCAUUUUGAUUUGGCUAUCCAAAUUUUCAAAGUUUGAUUCUACUAGUGAGCCUUCAAUUUAUUUAAUUUGAUUCGGCCAAUAACAUUUUAAUUUUAAAAUCUAAAUACAUCAUUUAUCAUUACAAACUUAGUUAGUAUUUUUUUAUAUAAUUUUCAUAGCUAUAAAUUCACUAAAUUAAAUAAUUAGCUUAAAUUUUGAAGUCAGAUUUAUUUUGGGGAUAAUAGUAGAAUCAAAAUGGUGCAUAGUUCAAGUAUAUUCCGAAUGCUUUUACUUAAAUUAUAUUGAAUAUAAAAAAAAAAAGUUUUGGCUAUAAGUGUUUUACAAUAUUAGUUUUAUAUGUUGUUGAUUUAUCGGUAAGUUCAUGUGGUACAGUGGAGUGUGCGCACGAAAAGCCAAUGAAAAACCUUCUAUAUUGCAUAAUAUCAAUACAUCAACAUGCAACAUAUAAUGGCUAUACACUCCACUUAUCUAAUAAGCAAAAAAACUUAACUAAUCAUACUGAUAUAAUAAGUGAAAAACCUCAGCCAUAAAAUAAAUGAAAUGUGUGAUUUUCACCCCAGAAUAGGUGUAUAAGUUGUAUUUUUUAUAUUUUAUUUUGAACAAUUCUACUUAUACGCCAUAAAAAGAUGUGUAAAUCUAAUAUCACUCCGUCCAAGAACCGGGUUUAUUAUUAUUAUUUUUAUAUAUAAAUACUAAAAAUCUAAAUAAUUUUGUGAACACAAUGUACGAGUAGCAUGCUCCUUUCGUUUUUCAUCACGUGCUUUGAGUACGACUAAAUUAUUUCUAUUUAGAUAAAUUUUGUCUUAUCUCUGUAUAUAAUCUCGACUAUUCGGUCCAUUGAUAACAUGGUGCACAGAGUUCACACUGCAAUUCUCGACUUCUUUACUAACCGAAUAUUAAAACUCAUAACCCAGCAGCUUCCUCGAAACACCAAAAAAACUGAACAAAAAUUUCGUGGGCACCGUCCCCCAAACUAAUAGUUUGGGGACAGUUCGGAUGGGCGCCACAUGGCCCCAUCCGACGGCUGCCCUUCGUCUUCCUCUACUGCGCUCUCUCUCUCUCUCUCUCUCUCUCAAAACAUCGGGAAAUUUUUUUUCUUCUUUCAUGGGUGAUCGUUGGAUGGGGCAUGUCACGCCCGUCCAGUGACUAUUAAUUUGGGGAUGGUGCCUACAAAAUUUUUAUCCAAAAGACAUCUGGCCCAACUAAUGCCAUUAAAUAAAAAAAAAAAUUCUUCCAUCGCAUGCCUUGGGUACAACUAAAUUAUUUACAUUUAGAUAAACUUUGCCUAGAUUUGGUCCACCACAUCAUCUGUAGACCGUCUAUGUAUAAUCCUAACUAUUCAGUCCUUUGGCAAUGUGGUGCAUGAGGUCCACAUUGCAAUUCCCUGCUCCUUUACUUCACUGGCGUUAAAAUUGAAGAGUCUCGGUGUAUUUGAUUUCACGUAAAAUUGUAAAAAAAUUUCAGUAUUUAGUUUGGAGGAGAAAAAAGUAAUUUUACAUUAUAGUUGUUUGACUGAAAGUAAAAAAAAUUGAAAAAAUUAUAAAUAAAAAACUAUUAUAUAUAUUUUCUCUUCUUAUAUAUUAUAUAUGUUAUUGAUAUGUAAUAAUUAUCAUAUUACAUAUAUUAAUAUUAUAAUUUAUAUUUAUAAAUAAAAUAUUAUAUAAUAAUGUAUUUUUAUUAAAAAUAAAAUAUUAUCUCUCGAGAUAUAUUUAUAGAGAGAGAGAGAGAAUUGAGCUAAAAUACAUCUAAAAGUACCAAUCCAUUAGUGUUUAGGUUUCUAGCUCUUAAAUCUACCCCUUGAUUAUUAAUAGUUUUUGGAUCAAAGAUUAUUUCAGUAUCUAUCACCAUUCAACCCAAGUGGAGAGUAAUUAUUCUAGCCCUAGUAUGCAUGUAUGUGCAUAAGAACAGAGAGAGAGAGAGAGAGAGAGUCCACCAUGGAUCUCUCUUAUGCGGUCUACGAGAUAGAGGUCAUUUUGUGGACCACGUGAUGUAUGUCUCCGUCUUUCUCAAAUACUAUAUAUUUUUGUGGCUGAGGUUUUCAAAACGAAACCUCUUAUUUCAUUGAAUUUGUAAAAAAAAAAAAAAAAAUUUACGAGCGACUAAUCACCGAAAUUUUACUUUUCAACUGAAAAAAAAAAAAUCGAUAUAAUUUUACGUGGAAUCAAACUUACCCUCAACAGCUUCCCGAAAGGUCCGAAAAACUGCUAAUGCAACUAACGCCGUUAAAAAGUGCUUCCAUUACAAGCGCCGAGUACAACUAAAUUAUUUCCAUUUCUAUAAAUUUUGUCUAAGAUUUGGUCCACCACAUCAUCUCUAGACCGUCUCUGUAUGAUCUCGCUACUCGGUCUAUUGGUAACGUGGUACACGGGAUCCGCACUAUAAUUCUCGGCUUGGUUACUUAACGGACGUUAAAAUCGAUAACUCAGUAGUUCUGCCGAAAUGCUUAAUAACCCGGCACAACUAACGCCGUUAAAGUCCCCUUCCAGCACCUUCCACCCACGUGGCCCCCACAUGCGCACACUCUCACCGUUUUCAUCCACGUGGUGCGCUCCGCCAAAAGGCACAAAAAGGCCAUGCCACGUGGGCCCCACCCAAACGUGCGUCCCACCAUCUCCACCGUCCGUUUCCAAUCCUACGGCCAAAAUCCCCCGCGGGGCGAACUCAUCUAUGCGCGUCCACAACCAUCGCUCACCCGAGCGCGCGACACGUGCCCAACCCCUCCUCGCUCUAUAAAUAGAGCCCCCCCUCAUUGCGUAACCCUUACGGUGCUUUACCCGAGAGAGAGAGAGUUUUUUUCUAUUAAAAGAAUUUUAAAAAUUUAAAUUUGAAAUUUUGAAAUUUUUUUUUGAAUUUGGAAAGAUGUUUAUAGAGAGGUUUAGGGUGGAGAGCGAGAGGGUGAGGUACGGGGACGAGGCGAUCGAGUCGGUGUACGACUACGAGACCACGGAGCUGGUGCACGAGAACCGGGGCGGAUCCUACCAAUGGAUCGUGCGGCCCAAAACCGUCCGAUACCGGUUCAAGACCGACACACGAGUACCCAAGCUCGGGUACACCGUAACCCCUCUCCCUUUUCAUUUCAUUUUUUUUUUUUUAUAUUAUACAAUAUUAUUAUACACAGAUUCAUAUAUUUUUUUAAUGUAUUUUUAGAGAUAAUUUUAGCUGUUUCUUUUUUUUGUGGAAUUUUUUUUUGGCUUUUUACGCGUGUAGGGUGAUGCUUGUGGGAUGGGGUGGGAAUAACGGGUCCACCUUAACAGCGGGAAUCAUUGCGAACCGAUUAUAACACUUUUUUUUUUUGCCCUUUGUUUUAUUUGUAGUACUUUAGUGUACUAGUGUUGCUGGAUUGCUUGUUUUAUGCAAGGAAAACUACUAAUAAAUCUUUGUUGAGAUUCGUGAUGGUCACAUGAUGCAACCUCAAUUUUGUCUUAUUUUGCACACUUGCUCUUAUUUAUUUAUUUAUUUAUUAUGUGAUGCAAAUAAAAAAAGUGUUAUAAUAAUAAUGGAAUUUGAAGUAUUUUUCUCCAAUAUUUAGAAAAUAUGUUGAAUUCAUAUAUUUAAUUAAGCAGUGGUGUUUAAUAAAUAUAUAUGUUGUUUAAUUUUUUUUUUUUUUGUGGAGUAUUUAAUAGGGGAAUAUCAUGGGUGACCAAAGAUAAGGUGCAACAAGCCAACUAUUUUGGAUCCUUGACUCAAGCUUCCACCAUUAGGGUUGGGAGCUUCAAUGGAGAGGAAAUUUAUGCCCCUUUCAAGAGCCUCCUCCCCAUCCUCUUUCUUUUUAAUCUAAUGAUUUUUUUUGGGUUUUUUUUUUUGCAUGUUAUUUCGCGAAAACUUGAUAGAUUGUAAGAUUAUUAUCAAAUGAAAAUCAAGUCUACGCCCCCGUCGACUCUGCAGGAGGAAAAAUAGAGUGUAAUGUUAUUUGACGAAGCAGCAGAAGAAAUAUUAUAUAAAAAUAGCUCUUAUUUAAAUGCUUUUUCACAAUUAUUAAUGCAUAUGCCUCGUGAUCCGUGGGCCCUUCUUAAUGAGCAAGGGGAAUCUUGGUACGCUUUAAAAGAAGGCACGCAUCUCGAGGAGCGGGAAAGAUAACCUGCUAUUUUAAAUAAACAAUGUGAAUCAAUUAGACUUCGAACUUGAAACCUCGGCCGCUAACUAGCAAGUUCUUAACCAACUGCGCUAGUUAGAGUCUAGUUAGAGUCGAUGCAUCUUGAAGAUAUUAAAUUGUGAAAAGUGUGUGCUAAAGUACUAGCACUAUCCCUCUCUUUCGAAAGUAUUCUAGCUUAACUCUGUAUAAUAGUAGUAUUACAAUGACCUUCUCGUAACGUGUGUAAAUACGGUAGUAUCGUAACGACCUACGCGUAACAUGUGUAAAUUAGGUUAAUCCGGAUGAUAUUAUAUUCGGGGGGUGGGACAUAAGCAGCAUGAACCUGGCCGACGCGAUGGCGCGCGCCAAGGUGCUGGACAUAGACCUGCAGAAGCAGCUCAGGCCCUACAUGGAGUCUAUGGUGCCCUUGCCCGGAAUCUACGAUCCGGAUUUCAUCGCCGCGAACCAAGGCUCGCGUGCCAACAACGUGAUCAAGGGCACCAGGAAGGAGCAGGUCGAUCAAGUCAUCAAGGACAUCAGGUAUAUUAACAUACGCAAUGCCUGUUUAGAGAACGGUGCUUCUGAUAUUUUAUACGUAACACUCCGUCACAUCUUGGUUCGAGAUGUUUAAUAUACACGCGAGAUGUGUACUUUGAAUUAAAUGGACGAAUGUUGUGUUUACUCUUAUUGAAUGCGAAUGUUUCAAACUCAAAACAAAAUUUCAAAUUAUAUGAAAUAAUCGUUAUUCUCCGAAAAUUUUAAGUUACGAGUGAAUGGUGUUUCUAAUAUUUAUAUUCAACAUUUUCUCUCACGUAUGAGUUUGAGAUUUUUUUUUAUAGGGGCAAGACAUGAACUUGAAUUAAAUUAGAGAAAAUUUUAUGAAGCUAGGAGCUUGGUGUAAUUUGAACUCAAGAAUUUUCUGCUCUAAUACCAUAUUAAAUUAUGUGAAACUAUUAUUGCUUUCCAAAGUCUUAAUCUGUCGAAGACUGAUUUUUCUAAAAUAUUUGUAUUCAACACCAUUUUCUUAAGCACAAAUCACUUUGAAUUACGUAAAACUAUUAUAUUCAAUUUGUUAUGAGUAAAUUAUUUAGAAGAGACUAGCACUAAUGGAGUUAAUGGUGAUAUUCCUUAAUAAGGAUAAUUUAACAAAUUAUGAGUUCUCAUGGAAUCACUAGGGAGUUCAAGGAGAAGAACAAGGUGGACAAGGUGGUGGUCCUGUGGACCGCGAACACCGAGAGGUACAGCAAUGUUAUCGUCGGAUUGAACGACACCACGGAGAAUCUUUUAGCUUCGCUGGAGAAGAACGAGUCCGAGAUUUCGCCCUCCACAUUGUAUGCAUUGGCAUGCGUCCUCGAGAAUGUGCCGUUCAUCAACGGAAGCCCGCAAAACACCUUUGUGCCUGGUACAUACUUUUAUCUCUUUUGUACUGCUAAAGAGUUAAAGUAGUUUUGGAAGAAUUUGUAGAUUUGUUUAAAGGCAUUUUUUCUGAAUGUUCUCCAGGGUUGAUUGAUUUGGCUAUCAAGAGGAACAGUCUCAUCGGAGGCGACGACUUCAAGAGCGGGCAGACAAAGAUGAAGUCUGUUCUGGUGGAUUUCCUUGUAGGGGCUGGUAUUAAGGUACCCCCCCCACCCCAGAAAUAGAAUGUGCUUUUGAUGUUAUCAUAACUAUAUAACCAUAUACUUAAAAAGAGCAGUGCAAAAAAUGUUGCUUUUAUUUUUGGUUUGAAUUGCUACUCUAAAUGAAAUGAAAUUUGAAGUAUUUGUACUAGUUGAUUUAACUCCGGCUAAAUUGCGGAGCCUUCAUUUUGUAUCUCAAAUGUCACCUUUCCAACCUGAAAUGUGAUAUUAUGGCUUUAAUAUGUAUCUCAUAACUGUUUAUAAUCUUCCUAAGAAUUAAGUAAUCUAUGCUCUCUACCUGGUUCGAGAUUGUGUCAAUAUAAAGUCACAGGACCUUAUGAAUGAAGGGAAUUUGAUAUUAAUAUGCAUGUUCUUUUGUCUCCUAGCCCACCUCAAUUGUGAGCUACAACCAUUUGGGCAACAACGACGGCAUGAACCUCUCUGCGCCGCAAACCUUCCGCUCGAAGGAGAUCUCAAAGAGCAAUGUGGUGGACGACAUGGUCUCGAGCAACGGCAUCCUUUACGAGCCAGGAGAGCACCCUGACCAUGUCAUUGUGAUCAAAGUACGCGCCAUUUUCUCUCCCUCUCUUUUACUUAAAAAGUUGAUAGAACACUCUAAAUGAGAGAAAACCACUGAAAACAUGGGAGAUAUAAUAUUACCUUGCUUUGUUUCAGUAUGUGCCUUAUGUUGGGGACAGCAAAAGAGCUAUGGAUGAGUACACUUCAGAGAUAUUCAUGGGGGGGAAGAACACUAUAGUUCUCCACAACACUUGUGAGGACUCCCUUUUGGCUGCGCCAAUUAUACUUGAUUUGGUGCUUUUGGCUGAGCUUAGCACUAGGAUUCAGCUUAAAGCCGAGGGAGAGGUAUAUAUAUGUUCAUAUGAUCAAACUUAGUACGAAAAAGCUUCAGCUCGUUUGUUUAGAAUCUAUAGAUUACGGAGAGUACUAAAGGGGUUUUGUUUGAAUUUGGUUUUGUAGGAGAAGUUCCACUCCUUCCAUCCAGUGGCUGCUAUCUUAAGUUACCUCAGCAAGGCCCCCCUGGUGAGUGCCCAGUUUUAACUUUUUAUGGUCAAGUGCUAGUCAAGUAUUUUAAAUCUGCUGAUGCUGAUAGUUUCUUAAGCAAAGCUUCAAACCAGAGAAUCUAGUUUUCGGACCGAAUAGCUGUAUCCAAAUAUAUAUUUCCGAAAGUUUAUGCUUGCUAGAGCACAAACAGUGCUUAACCGAACGAAUAUUUCGGUUGUGUUGUGUAUUUACUUUUUGGGUCAAAAUGAAACAGGUCCCACCGGGCACGCCAGUGGUGAAUGCACUCGCGAAGCAGAGGGCCAUGCUCGAGAACAUAAUGAGGGCCUGCAUCGGACUCUCACCGGAGAACAACAUGAUCCUCGAGUACAAGUGAUAUCUGAAUCUGAACACGAGCCUGAAAAAAAGAAGGGUUCGAACUUCAAUCGGAUAGACGAGGGGGAUUACCUACUACUCUUUUUCUGUAGCGUGAAUUGGUGUUUUUGUUAUUGCUCUUUGCCUGUUGUUCUGCAUGUGUUAGUUGGUGGCAGUUGGGUGUUUAUUGUGUGGCUCUGCACUGAGUUGCUGAUGCCUUUCGAUAGAUCAUGCAAAUUCCCAUGUAUCUUCUUCUUCUUCUUUUUCUUCUUCUAGCUUCUAAUGAAAAGGUCUGAUCGCGCCUUAUUUAGUACUGCAAUGCAAGUAGAUGGCCUUUUUUGGUUCAAAUGUUUCGCCGGCGCCUUAUUUAGUACUGCAAUGCAAGUAGAUGGCCUUUUUUGGUUCAAAUGUUUCGCCGGCGCCUUAUUUAGUACUGCAAUGCAAGUAGAUGGCCUUUUUUGGUUCAAAUGUUUCGCCGGGACUCAGUCGAUGAUGAAUGCAUGUAGGUUUUGCAAUUGAAUUCUCAGAUUAGCUGUGCAGGUUGAGAAUGUGCCACAUCUCAGGACCCCCGAAUUGUCACUCACCAAAAUUGUUGCGCACAAAUUUAUAACAGGGUCUCUUUGUUUUUUUUUUUUUUGCUGUAAUCUACUAGUGGUGAAUUUGGGUUUUAUCAAUUGGUUUGCCACUUUGUUAGCUUGCACCUGGCCUACCCUAAUUUCAAUUUAGGCUGCUCUAUUACAGAACCUUACAAAUUGAUCCGCACAAGCCAUUUCUUUUCCUUUUUUCUGUUUCUUUUUCUAAGCCAUUAUAUGCCAACAGAUUUAAAAAAAUUAAAAGAACAAUCAUUCUGUCGCAUCAUUGUGUGAUUCAAAGAUGGAUCUUUCCAGGUAUCUUCUUUGCUUUUUCUCCACUUUUAUUUUAUUCCGAGAAGUACUUAACCAAAGCGCGGCUUAAUUAAACGGCUAAAACCUGCAAAUACAGUUUGCAGCAUAGAACAUCGCAGAGACGGGCUCCAAUUCACACACACAUUCUCCACACUAUUCAAUGAGAUAACCCGCUUGCUUAACGUUAGGCUAUAAGUGGGACUUCUCAACAAUGGAAACGACUGCUGUCACAUCGUCCAACUUGCCUCCGGUAAAGCUGAGGUAUCCGGCGGCAAGCGCGGCGUCAGCAAACGGGCUUCUGGCAAAAGAUGAUCUCCCCACUUCUUGUGCCCUCAAUGUCAGGAACUCCGCAAUUUCCUGCAUUUUGUUACGAAAAGCAUAGGAGGCUCAACAAGCAAGAAAGAUAUCUCUUUAUUGUUAGUUAAGUUGCUGGCUCCCAUCUUUUUUGUUUUUUUUCGCCAUCCUCGACGGAUUCAAUCGCUAAAAUUUGAAUUCUUCAAAAGAAAAAGGGAAAGAAACUGGAACUGCAAUUGUAACCAAACAAGGUCUAGGGUUCAAAUCUUAACCGUUGUUUUGAGGCCCGCUUGUAAUGACUUGGAGACGAUCGCAGUUAUCUCUUGUUCGUAUAGGUUAUCGAAGAGGCCAUCUGUUGCUGCUAUGACCACAUCCCCUUCAUCUAGAUCGAUAUUGUAAGUCUGGAGGAUAAAGUGCAGAACUGAAAAUCAGCCAAAUAUUUAACUGAACUUGAAAACUUCUUCAUGGCGAACAUUUUAACUAGAGAGACUGAUCUGUAAUCUUUUCAUUGUGUAGUGUCUUAUCUUUCACAUAGGUUCCUUCCUCCAUCAAAUUACAGAGAAAUAUCCAUGUAAGCACCAUCUGUUUGGCAUUUCAGUCACUUCUUACCAAUUUAACCGAGGAAACUAUGAAUAGAGUAAUAUUACCCAAUUUAACAAACAAAACUAUUGAAAAGAGCAAAAUUUGCAAUAGGAAGUCAAAACUAGAAACCAAUUGUAACGACCGGAAAACAGGGACCAAAUUGAAGCGUUUUAAACAGUUUGAGGAUCUCUGAUUCUUGUUAACAUUAAAGAAUGAUGAAUAUGGAUAGGAUGAAUCCAUGUGUACCUGUAUGAACUUGGAGGGAUCAUCACCCCUCUCAAUCUGCAAGGGGAAGUUGAACCCAUAAAGCAUCGGAGUAGAUCUUUUAAAUACUGCACCAUUUCUUAUCACGAGGAAUCCAGAGUCCCCUAUAUUAGCUACAUGAAGAACCUGCAUGAAAUUUGAGUUGAAGAUACCUCACGAUCAGAACGUAGCAGACAAAGAAAAAAGAGCAAGCAAGCCUCAACUGACAUGAUACUGAAGCAGAAUGAUUACAGACCUGGCCAUCAAAAUGAGCAACUAGAACAGUUGAUGAACCAGGCGACUUUGCUUCAACUGCAGCCUGGGUCAGAAUUUGAUCAGGUUUAGUUCCUGGAACUCCUUCAUACUUGGAGACAUAUCUCUCACAGUUCUCCAUUAGUUCUCUAGCAUACAAUCCUGCGUUGACUCCUGAGAAGAUAUAUUGUUGCAACAUUUAGAAAUAUGACCAUAAUUGUUUGGAACUAUGACCAAAGUUGUCUAGUAAGUACACAGCUAAACGUGCAAUUCCAAUGAUGUUCUCGAAAUUUACACGAACAACAACAAUAAUUUCAAAUUCCAUGGCUAUACUGUAAAAUCUGUCAUUGUUCAUUGUGCUUCUGUCGUGAGGUCUCCAAACAAAAAUUGCACCAACCUUGUUUUACUAUUGACUUCAAACUUUUUCAUCCUGAAGCCCACAUUACAGUAGUUCGACUGAGAUCCAGAAUAGUAUUAUUUAUUACCAUCUGACAACCUGUCCAGUCUACAGCACAUGUAGUAUGUAAUUAUUAACCUGCCUUGCUCUAUGUUGGACUCUCAACUAUAUAUCAAUAUUCAAUAGCAGCGCUUUCAUUUGUCCUUCUUUAAUAACGGGGCAUAGUACAUUUCAAACAAACAGUCUAUAAAACAAAUAAUCAGAUCUGUGACCAAGUCAGCAGGGAAUCAGCUAUUAAGUGAGGGUAACCUCUGAUUCUCUAUGUUUUCAGUCUCUUGCUGAAGCAUAUUUCUGCCCCAGAAAGCUAAAUAACAGCAAAACAGAGUUUGCUCACUUACAGAGGAUCAACACUGAACCAUAUUUCAGACCAGAACCAUUAGAUGAUUAUAGCACUUUUCAAGCGCUUGACACUGAACGGCAAAGUAAGUAAGCACAAGGAGAAGCUGUGUCAUAUUAUGGAGCUUAAGAGAAGUUGGUAGAUGAACUUUUUAGAUGAUUCUUAGGAAAAUUACCUUCAAGUGACCACUGACCAACUCCAUCCGCUACACCUAACCAGCUUUUACAUGCCACAAAGUAGGCAUCUUCCCCACCAGUCAAUGCCUGAAAUUACUAUGCUAUAUUACUCACGAAAAAUAUCAACACCAUGAACAAAGCACUCAUAAUCGUACCUUCGUAGUCAGAAUAUUAUAUUACCUUUGAAGGAUGAGGUAACAUUGCAGCACCUGAAGCCAAAGAAAGAGUUGGUACUGAUACCGAAGUUGUCCUGGAAUAUAUAUUGUGCAUUCAAAGGAAGAAAUCAGAUCUUGAUCUAAGCUAGUCAUUGACACUAUAACCAAAGAUGUGCUUGCCACACGUCAAUUUUCAUCUAAUGAUAAAAUGCCAAAAAUUUCAAGGAAAGAAAUUGGAUGGUAAUUGAAGUACAGUCAAACGGUUCAGCAAAUGUCUCAUGCAACAGACCGGCAACAUUGUAAGCUACUAUAAUUGCAUUUUUUUUUUUUUAAAAAGAAAUUUAAAGAAGUUAAAAGUUAAACUAAUAGAACAAAAGUACCUGUCAGGGCUCACAACCUCAGUAUUGCUGUAGAUCUGAUCCUUCUCUUCUCUAAGUUGUUCCUAGUAAAUGACCAGAAAGAUAACCGGAUAUCAAUAGACAAAUACUUGAAUCCAAAGGGAAAAAAAAAACAUAAAACCCAAAAACUGAAACCAGUCUUCAAUCUAAGAAAGUUUUUUAUGUUCAAUUAUGGGCUUAUAAUAAUGGCCUUCAAACUAGGGAACUAUGUAAGCAGCAAACUACCUUCAAGGAGACCUGCAAUUAGCUACUAUGAUCUGUUUACAAAAGGUUAUCUUGAAUAUCGAAGUGACACUGCCACUUGCUAGUGCUUUUGAAGACCUUGAAGAGCAAAUACAGCUUUGUCGAGUUUACACUCGAAGUUCUUUCGAGAAAAUAAUUAAACUAAAGCCGCCCAUUUUCUCAUCGAAUCAUCUCAACAGUCAGCAAGAUAUACUUCCCUAAGCAGCACAACUUAAUAGAAGUCUCUGCUCACAGCUCAAAACUGAAGAGGAAGUUGAUUAAAAAAAAACUUCACUACUACAUUCUAUGGUAUAAUCCGUUCUUAGCUGUCGCUGUUCUGCAUGCCUUUUUGCUCAAAGUGUUCUUGCUAUAGCAUGAUAUAUAUUUGCAAAUUAUUCUUUUCAUUCAUGAAAUUUAACAUAUUUAGUAAAAUAAAGGACUGAUUAUUCAUUCAGCAGAAGAGCAACAUGCAAAACAUACCAUGAUUGAUGUCUGAUCACUAUUUGCUUCUCCUUGAUCCUCUAUUGGGAAAUUACUUGAUUCCCUAUCUGCAUCAAUAUCAAUAUCUGAUGUACUAGAGACCUCCGAAGCCUCUUUAUCCACCAAAAGGCUUUCAGUUACUUCCUCUCUAUCAUCAGCUGAGGUUUCUUCCAACUCCUCGGCAGAUUCCUGGAGAUCAGAAACUUCGGGGGAUUCUUCAACAAGGUGACUUUCAUCAGUCAACCUAUCUUGUUGCUCAAUAGGCAAACUGGAACUUACUGCUUUUUCCUGCUGAGUUCCAUCCGAAGAGUUCAACUUUAAUUCCUGAUCGCUAACAGUUGAUUCGUCAACUGAGGCUUCUAUCAUCUCAGGGCCACAUUCUUGGACAACACCACUAUAUGGUGAUAAGGAUUUUCCAGCAACGAGACUUCCGUUAGUCGAGUUAACUUCCUGUUCGAUAUCGGCAUCAGUGCUCUUCACUUCCAGUGAAGUUUCCGUACAAGUCAACGCUAAAUCUGAGUCUUUCUCCGACCCCACAAUCUCACUCGCUUCCGCAGAAACCUCACUCACCUCUCGGUCGCCGUCUGGAGACUCCACCAAUUUGGUUUCAAGUGGAGUUUCUCUACUCUCCGCAGGCAUACUAUUUGGUUCUUCUACUUCCUCUACAAACAAGUCAGAACUAUUUGCUUCAGUAAUCAUCUCCAACUCACCCUCUGAAUCCCCAAUCUCCAUCUCCAAUCCAUUAACGGUGCGUGCAUCACGAGCUUCCUUUUCAAGCAGCUCAUUCGAAUCACCUGAUUCGCUACUUCCCCUGUUACCAUCAUCAUCAGCAUCCAUGACUACCGAUCCUUCCGACUCAAGGGUGGGUCUCCUCGCCAUCUCAGAGGCCGCCUCCUGGAAAUCCACUUCCGAGGACUCUCUCACCUCCGAUUCACCCAAACCCUUCUCCGAAUCCGAUUUCUCCGCGGCAUCGCAGAACCGGAAGAUGACGCUCCCGUCCAAGCACUCUGUCGAAGCCGCCGCAAAGAAGAGGAAGACGAAGAGGACGAGGAGGAAGAAGAGCGAGACCGCGUUAGAUGACAACGACGACGAUAUCCGAUCCAUUGACGAUAAAUUCGAAUCCAAAUUGGGAAAAGAAAAGGGAUAGGGUUUCCGGAGUACCGAUUGUGGAGCAGAGCUCGAGGUCGGGUCGCCCAGCGACCCUCGGCCGGAGCGGCGGCGGGGAAGACGGUGGCUGGGAUACGGUGCGUCGGAGGUGGAGCGACGGCGCCGAUGGCUGCGGAGGGGAGAGCUUGUAGGAGACGGGGGAGAACCGGAGGUCGAGGAGCCCGGGGAAGGGGAACUCCGCCAUUAACGGGGGCGGAGGAGCUGGAGAGCCAGGGUUUUUCCUACGCAUACGAGAGAGAGAGAGAGAGAGAGAGAGAGGAGUAUACGAAGAGGAGAAGCACGGGCGAAGACGAAGAAGAAGAAGAGGAGGGAGAUAACGAUAAGAUGGUGACACGUGCGACGAUCACGAUGAUGCGGUGCUCAACGGUACCACGUGUACGUUUGUCCAUCGUCAGAUCCGGAUUUAUUCAUUGGUCGGUACAAUUUGUACAGGAACCCCUCAACUAUAUCCUAUUUUGAACUCCACCCUCAACUUUAUAACUUUUUCGCUCCAUAAUAAAAGAUUUUAACUAACUAAAUUCAACAAAAAUACUAAUUUAAAUUUAAAGAAUCAAAAGCUUCAAAAGCGUUAAUUACAAAAUACAAAAUUUUAAAAUUUUAUUUUAAAAAUGAUCGUCAUUUGACCCAUUACAGUGAGAUAGGAACACAAAAGUACGACCUAUAAUUGAGGAGGUUUUGGUAGUAUACUGGAUCUAUUCACCGAAUUAAUGGGGUACCCAUGUGCCUGAUUACUUAAAUCUCCGCAAAAAAUAUAUAACUAUAAUUUUUAGCAUUUUACAUUUAAAUAUUAUUUAACUGCGAUAUAUCCUAAACACUUAUCCAUAAGUGUUUUUUUAUUUACAAUUAAUUCUAUAGUUUGGAAAAACGCCCGAUUCCUCAAAGAGUCACGCAAAAGAUUUCUCCAAAGAAUAAAAUAAUCACAUAAAUCAUAAAAUCAAAAAGCAAUUUUUUGGAUCAAAGUUAGUGUGAAAAGAGAAUAUAUUUUAGGAUGUAUAGGAUCUCUUCUAGAAGAUCCGAGAUGCUACCGUUAUUCAGAAAUCGAUUCUUUUUGUAUCCUAUUUUUAUCUGCUCUAUUCUAACCGAAUUAGAUUUUUUUUAUAAACUUAUCUUAUUUUUCUUGGGUUAAUUACUAUUCUACUUAGCCUACUAUUAUACUAUUCUACUUAGCCUCUGCUCUAAUCUUAACUCAUCAGAUUGAUAUAAUUAUUUAAUUAAUUAGGCUUGGAUCACGUGAUAAUUCAUAGUUUAUACUUUUAAAAAAUAUAUUGUUCAUUGAAAGAUGCGUCUGUAUAUUUUAAACCAAGAAUUUGUCGCACAGACUUUAAAAUCCACACAAAGCAGUGAAUAUGAUGUGAUUACUUCCAAAUUAUACGGCAAAUUAUUGUCUAUUAUUUAACAAUUAAGCUUGGAUCACGUGAUAAUUCAUAGUCUAUACUUUUAUUAAAAGGUAUACUGUUCAUUGAAAAAUGCGUUUGUAUAUUUUAAACUAUGGAAAAUAAAUUAUUGUCUAUUAUUUAACAAUUAAGCUUGGAUCACGUGAUAAAUCAUAGUUUAUACUUUUAGAAAAUAUAUACUGUUAAUUUAAAGCGGUGUUUGUAUAUUUUAAUCUAUGGAAAUUGAACAAAGGUCCUUAUUCUCGAAAAUUAAAAAGCUGUAGUAAAAAUAUCGUUUGAUUACUGGAUGAGUGGACUCAGUAGACUCGGUCCCGUGUUGCUUUUAUGUUAAUUUACACAGAGGACGAUUUAUCCUAAUUAUUUCCUAAAAUAACAUCUUAAUCUAUGGAAAAAUACUGAAAUUAUAUUUUAAAAAUGUCCUUUUCCAAUCAAUUUUUUUUAUUAUAGGUAGUACUUAGCGUGUUAUAUAUAACUCCGGUUCAACUCACCCGAGUCUUGGGCCGGUUUGAGCAAUUUGUAAAUUGCACCCUCUUUUUUUUUCGUAUAUUUAGAAACCAUAAAUUAUUUAUAUAAAAUUAAUUUUAAAAAAUUAAAUUAUUUUUAUAAUUAUAAUAUUUUUUAAAUAAAAAAAAAACCAUGCAAUUGGAGCCUUUCCAAAAUCCCUACUCUUUUAAAUAUGGAGCAAAUAUGGCGGGGUGACAAUGUAUGAGAACCCCUCAACUAUGCUUUAUUUGGAAUUUACACCCUCAUUUCUUGUAUAAUAAAUUAGUUAAGGAAUCGUGCUUCUUUGUAGAUCUUUAUUUUUAAAUGUUAAAUUCAAAUUAAUUUUUAGAAUUGCUAUAACUUAUUCUUUAUUAGAUUCAAAUUAUAAAAAUAUAUUAACUAUCUUUGUUAUUAUUAGAAGUAUUCAGUUUUAUUAAUUUUAGGAAAGCAUUUUAGGUUUUUGGAAAAAAGGUUUAUAGUAUUAUUAAUACAUUAAUAAUUAUAUAACUUAUUUAAUUCUAUGUACAAAUUGAGUAAAAAUUUGUAUAUUAAUAAUUUAAGAUUAUAUAUUAUUUGUCGUCGAGUUCGCACAACUUUUUUUUUUUUUUUUGAGGAAAAGGUAGCAUGCUACCCGCUUCAUUCAAUGGAUAAAUGAACUUAGCUACAUGUGUGAGGCAACUCAGGCCUCGAAAUGGGCGGGAAAAAAAAAUUAAAAAAAAACAGUUGGUAGAUAGAGGAGGAGCAUGCGGCCAUGGGCCGCUCGACGGAGGAGCAGGAUGCACCGCGGGACUCGUGGAUGCAGGAAGCGUCGAGCAUGGAUACGAUGUGGAGCCCCGUGAGUGCCAUGGGGCUUGGACUUACGGUUGCGACGCCAGAUAACGAUGAUCAUCACCUCCUCAUAAGGUAUGAUAGAGAUAUAGAGAGAGAUACAUAGUAAGAUAUGAAAGAGAGUACAAAAAAGAGAAACAUAUUGUCCAUAGAGAGGGAGAAAAAGAGAUUGAUGAGAAUCUUCAAUCUUGUAAGAUAUAAAAAUGAUCUAAUAAGAUAUCUGUGUGUUAGAGAGAGAGAGAGAGAGAGAGGGGAGACAAAAUAUAGAUAAUAAUUGAGAAGAGAGAGAAGAGAUAUAGGACAGAGAGAGGAGUGUAGGAGAAUAAAAGAGGGGCUGUCACGUGGAAUUAGAAAAUUCUUAAUUCAUUUACUUGUUUAUAUGCUUCAUGUAGGCAAUAAUCAAGUGACACUUAAAAGAGACCAUAAUGUCGAACUCGCAAGUUUUCAAAACAAAAUGUGAAUGCAAGUUCAGAAACUCGUGAUGCUAUUUUUCCUUAAAAAUUGAAAGUAAUACAAUUGAUAUACACCAAAGUAGAGUGUAUAUCUUACACUCUAAAAAUUAUCCGAUCUUUACUUAUCACAUAAAAGAAAAAAAAGUAACUAAAAGUUAUUUAAAAUCUUGUGAAUCCUAGGAUAAAGAGGGUAAGAUCUACAUGUUUUUGUGAAUCCUUGUGUCUGUUCUUAUGCUUUGGCAUUACACGUUCACUAUUUUUAUGUUUCCAUAGUUUCUGUUAAAUAUGGUAUAAAAGUCUAAUAAUAAAGUGUGAGAAAAUCAACUAGAGCUUUUACUCCUAUCAUUCUCAAUUGAUAGAGAUGGCAAUUCUAUUCCACUGUAUCUACAUACUGAAGGCAUCAGGCAUAUACUUCUGGAUUUAAUAGCAACUGCUAAAUUCACUUUUCUCGAGCAAAUUUUACAUGUACAAAGCUAGCUGAGAAAAAUAAAUAAAUAACAUCUGUAUAUAUUGUGGUUAUUGCCCAUAUAACUAUGUUCCCUAUGUGGGUGCUUAUUCAUCUUACUAGUAUAUUUUGUAAUAUUAUGAUAAGAUGCUCGUGUGAUGGCUAUAAUUCCGCUAUCUCUUUCUAGAAUCCGAUGUAUUGUGUAUACUGUGAGUAUGCCUCCGACUGCAUGCCGAUCGGAGCGCGAGUGACGAGAUCCGGGAGAUCGAACGCGUCGACUAGCUCUCUCGCGAAACCCCUCACUUGGAAACUCAGAUACUCUGUUAACUUAUGAAUAGCCUGGAAGAGAAAUUACGGUACAAAAGUUAAGGGCCAUCUUGUAUGAACCUGAAACAGAGCUUAAAAAUUGUAUCAUGCUAAUGGAACAUACCUUGGCCUUAUUAGGAGCCACAUAGUCCACGUUCCGAUAUGUUCCGAUGUCUUUCCAGAUUCGAUCCAGGGCAUAAAGGUCGCAGAGUAGCUUCAAGACGCCGCGCGUGUUCUCGUCAGGGCAUCUGCAACAAUAUUAGAAAUCGUCUGUUACGGCUAAACCCGGAACAGAGAUAUUUAUGGAGACAAAAUAAAGAGGCAGAUAUAUGUUGUUCGACUACUUGUCUACAUCUGCAGAGCAGUGGAGUCGGAAACUUUUGCUAUGAAGAUCAAGUGUAGAAUUCAAAAAGAGAUACUGAUCUUAAAACAUCGGAAUCCGACGAACUCUUAGAAAUGGCGAUCAAAAGGAAAACCUUUAUAUCUAAUAUGUCGAUUCAGUUUAUGUGCCCGGGUCCAAGAAUUCAAAAGAGAACAAAACAUCAACUAAUUAUAGCCAACCAAAACAUCAAUUAUUUUUAGCCUCAUACCACAAAAAAUAGAUGCCAAAUCUCAAAAUAACACCAACAAAAUUCUUAGACCUGGAAAUUUCUCAAGCACAGUGCACCCAUAAGAAACCGAGUCCUAAGCUAGAGAGAGCAGGGAAUAUACUCCAAUACACAAAUGCAAGGGAACGACAAAUAAUCCAAAUUUUCAAAAGCGCACCUCUGUACUGCAUCUAUGAACUUUGCGAGGAUGACCGAUUCAAUGUGCGACUCAGCAAGUGUCAGGAGGUGAUUUAAGCAUCUGUUCCAGGCACCAAAGCCUCCGAGUGUCUUCGUGUGCUUGCGAAUCCGUACCGCGACACUUUGAAGCAACCGAGAUGUUCGAUACUGAAUAAUAUAGGAUUGUAAAAAUCACUGAUACAGGAAGAAAUUUACAUUCACUAGUUGUGCUAGAAAGUAAACAGACAGUGAUUGAGAGCUCACCCUGAAAGCAUCCAGUUGGAAGUUAGGAUCGCGCAAAUGGUCUGUUCCUUCCCAUCGAGUGGUCACCGGAUUCGGCUGGGAUAAGUAUGAGGCCAUUGACUCUCUCAAGUAGUUCCAGGUGACUGUGAGAGUGCCUCCCUUGAACUUUUCCUUGUAUUGCUUCAAGAGAUCCGCUGCAACCUAUGCAGUAAAGAAAAAUUGAGAGGUAAUUCUAGUUCAGUCCCACAUGAAUUACAAUUCAAGGAUGGCUUAUCACAAAGAAAAGCGAAACUCUGCAGAUAUAACUUUCAAUCGAGAUCAAAUUUCAGGGACUUGACAAGUAAUUUGAAGCUUAAAAAAACAUUAAUAGUUAAGAGAGCAUAAUUUCAUCAACGGAACGGUGGAUGCCACUGGUGAUACCUGUUGCAAAAGAACUGUAUUAUCCCCUUCGAAUGUCUGAAAUAUAUCAUGGUCAUUUCUCAAAAUACCGAACCGGUUCACCGCAGCAUAUCCAUGUCCACCGCAAGCUUCUCUGCAUACACUAAGAGACUUCGCCGUAUACGAAGUCACAUAAGCCUUCAGACCAGCUGAGAGCGCGUGUACAUCGGCAACAACAUCAUCGUCAUGCGAUUUCUUCAUCUCCGAAUACUUGUCCACCAAAUAAAGCGUCGUGAAAUGAAAGGCGUAAGUUGAAGCCAGCAUAGGCAUGAGCUUAUGCUGAUGAGAUUGGUAGUCCAAUAUGCUGACUUCUGGCUCCUUCGGAGGCCCGAAUUGGUGGCGGAGUAGAGAGUAUCUGGUGGCUAUAGUAACUGCUACUUUGAGAACACUAACAGACGUAUACGCUAUCCCAACUCUCCCUCCGACAAGUUCUCCUAGCGUAGCUGCGAACCUCUUGUUGACGGUGGGGAGAGGGCUCGUGUAUUUCCCAUCCUUUGACAGAUCUCCGAACCUGUUGAGGAGAUUGUCGCGAGGAAUCCGCACAGAACGGAAACGUAAUGCUCCGUUAUCUACCCCAUUCAGGCCGAUUUUGUGGCCACAGUCGUGUAUUUCGAUGCCGGGAAGAACAGCGUGUGUUUUAAGGUCUCUUAUGGGGACAAUGAAUGCAUGCACACCCAUAUCAGCAGAACCACCUGCCUCCUCUUGAAGUGGUAAAAUGAGUUUUGCAAAAACGGUCGCAAAUUUUCCGUGAACUGCUGCGUUGCCGAUCCACCACUUGAUUGCUCCGUCAUUUGGGGUGUCGAUUAUGAACUCGUCGGUGAGCGGAUCGAAGGUAGCAGUUGUUUGAAGGCCUUGAACAUUCGAACCUACAGGUAUUCAAUAGUCAUGAUGAUGUUUAAAUAUCUAUGCGCAUUAAUAGUGUUGAGGGUACACAAGAAUUUGAUCAACAAUCUUAUUUCUAAUCGAUUAUACGCAAGGAGGAGCUCACCGUGGUGGAGUUCGGUCAUCGCGAAACAACCAGGGUAGUCGAGAUUGUCGAUUCCGUCAAAGUACUUCUCCCUGUGCUUUUCUGUUCCUAAGUUGAUCACUGUGCCUCCCCAGAGGCUGCAAAAUAAUCACACAAAAGUUAACUAGUGCUAGAAACUUAGAUGCAAAGUACAAGAAUUCCACAAGCACCAUCUUCAUAUGGCCUGAUUGAUCAUGGCACUAUCUAUCUAAGCUCACAAUUUAGUCAAAUUUAGUGCGUGAAAUAGUGACUAGUUUUAAUGAAUCUCUGUAAAGCAUAAAAUCAACUGUUAAUACAGAUACAUUAAAUUCAGCCACUAUUCGCUCCCUAGAUCCUUCACUUCAUCUCUGGAGAUCAAUGGGUUGACAUAGGAGACCGGUUCCAUACAACAAGUUCCUCCUUCCCCAACCGGCAAACCCUAAGAUCAAACGAAACCGGAGGAGCACCACCAAUUCUCCUACUACCUCAGGAAAUCAAACGCAUCUGAUUCGAAACCCUAAUCAAACAACAACAGAAGGAAAAAAAAAAGGCGAUGGAGAGCGAGAUCGAGAUGGAGAGAGGCGAUCCGAUUCGAGGCUCACCUGUACUGGACCCCGAGCUUGACCCCGAGCGAGAUGUCGACCCCGCCCGCGGCCUCGAGGACGGCGAAGUACGCGGAGGGGUCGUCGUCCAUGAGGCUGAGGGGCCGGAUCCCGGCCUCGCGGACCAGCGCCGAGAGCUGGCGCAUGCAUAUCUCGCGGUGCUCGGCGGUGGCGACCUCCACGGGUGUCGCCAGCUCCGGCCGCGACGCGAAGAACUCGAACACCCUCAUCUGGAUCCCGCGGUGCCGCCCCCGCAUGUACUCCGUUAGCUCCGCCACGCUCACCGCCGAUGGCCUCCUCCGUCGAGCGGCGGCGCCUCCUCCUCCGCCGCCGCAGGGGACGAGGGCGAGGGAUCCACCGUAGGAGGAGGAGGAGGAGGGGUCGAGGUGGAGUGAGAGGAGGCGGAGGCGGCGUAGAGGGGCUUCUCCUUCUCCUUCUUUCGCCAUUAGAGAGGGUUUCGAGGUGCGUAGAAGCGUGGGAGAAGAUGAUCGAUCGAGGAGGAAGCCGUAGCGCUCGGGGAAUUUGUAUACCACGGCACACGAGAGUUGGGUGGAGGGAAUGGUGACGUGGCAACAGAUAAGUGGAUGUGACAUUUUAGAUAUUUUUAUAUUCGCCCUUUUUUAGACUUUUGGGCGCAUUUUAAGGCGACUUGAAUUUGGAUAGGGAUGGUCUUUAAUUACAAGAAAUGAUUGCCUACGCCGGGUGUAUAGGCAUAUAAAAUUCAAAUUCAAAUUUUAUUAAAAAACUAUAAAAUUUGAUUUAUUAUUUUUUUAUAAAUCUAAUAAUGAUUAUUUAUGUCCGGUUGAUUAAUUAAAAUUACUUGAUGUCUUAGUAGCAGAUUUAAAUUAUAGAAUUGUUUAUAACUAUUCUUCUAAUUAGUAGAUGGUAUAGAUUAUGUUUAAGUAAUUAAAAUUAAUUUGAAAUUAUUAAGUAAUCCAAUGCGAUACACUAUGGACAAGGAUGCACCAAUUGCAGCUGAUAAUUUCUUCUUAAGAUUUGGUUGGGCUGUUGUUGGCUUCCAAAUUAUUGCAAUCAAAUUAGUGAUCUAAGUUUUGUUUUUAUUAAUAGUUAUUUUAUUAUGUUUUUUUAUAAAUAAAAAAUUGUAUAUUAUAAUUAAAAUAUAUAAAAUGUAUACGUCAAUAUUUUGAAUAGCACUCUCAAAUACAUACGGUUUGACUUGUUACGUUUCAAAAGUCAUUUGUACUUUAAUUACUUGGACAACUGAAAAUAAUAACACAAAGAGGAAUGGAUAAGACCAAAAAAGAGUAAACGCAUAAGCACUUUGACCAUAGACCAAGAUACGUGCCAUUAUCCCUUGAAUGAAAAAUAAAAUAUAAUUGAGAAAAAAAACAUAUUGGACAAUUAGUUCUGCGUCGAUUCGUAUUCCACUUGAAACAAGUUUCAGAUCGAUCAACUUAUUUAAUAAAUAGAUCAAAUAUAAAUUAAAUUUUUCAGCUCAAAAUUUUAACAAGUCGAAUACGAGCUAGAAUAAAUUUUAGGCCAACUCAAAUGAAAAAAAAUAUUUAUAUAAACAUUUUAAUUAUUAGAUUAAAAUUUUAGUUUUUCUAAAUUUUCUUUUAACUUUUCUCGUUUGGUAAUGAAGCUGAUAGUUUAACUCGUUAUUCAUAAGUCAAUAAACGAAUUGAAUACAUGUUCGAUGUUUCAAUUAAUCAACUUAUCUUCGGCUUAUUUAAUAAAUGAAUAAAUAUGAGCAUCGUAUUUGUCACGUUGUCAACCCUAUAGGACAUCAUAUUUAUCCUUCUAAGACAAACAACUCUUUAAUAAUAAAUAAAAAUAAAAAAGGCAUACCCAACGUAACCUCAAUACGAUUCACACGUGUCAUUUUGGUCCAUAUUGGCGUACGAUAUUAAAUGCAAUCGUUACGCUGAAUAUUUCCCUUCCCAAGUACAAUGAAUACAUAUCCUAUCAUUUCUCAUGUACCAAAUCCUCCUAUUUUAUUACCCACCCCAUUUAUUAUAACUUAUAAAUUAUACAUUUUAACCAUCCAAUAUAUAUAUAUUUUAAUAAAUAUGUAAAAAUUAAUAAAAUAACUGAGCUUUAAAUUUGAGAUAAUGCUAAAGGCCCACACGACGGGCUAUUAGCUCAGUGGUAGAGCGCGCCCCUAAUAAUUGCGUCGUUGUCCAGUCAACUGCUGCGCCUCAACGCAUUUCGGGGAGAACCAGCUUCAUCGUCGAGAGGGAAAGACCCCGGAUCACCAGCUAAGACCCCUGCUAUCAAGUUCUUAGUUAACUAUACUAAAUACGAUAAAUAGUACAUAAUUUUUGUAAAAUCUUUUUUGCUACAGUAUAAUAUUUUAAAUAUGCUCUCUUCGCAAUAUGCAUUGUAAAGUUAAGGGCAUCAACUAAAAAGUCAUGCUCACUGAGAACGCACGUCCCAACUAUAAUCUUAUAUAUUAGACCUUAGAUAUUAGAUAUUAGAUAUUAGAUAUUAUUAAUAUAUAUAUAUAUAUAUAUAUAUAGAAUUAGGCUGGAAUAUUAUCAAUAGCACCAAGUUAUUGGUGCUAUUAGUUUUUUAGCCCUUAGAUUAAGAAAUGUGCGGUUAGGAUGAUGUGAGCCCCUUAGGAUUGAGUGGAUGGUUGGUUGAAUAGUAUAAUCUAACGGGUAAAAAUAAUUAAAGGAGUUAAUCUAACGGCAGAAAACUUGAUAGCACUAAGUGUUUGGUGCUAUCGAUAGCAUAGCAGCCGAACUCUAUAGAACUAUAUAUAUAUAUAUAUAUAUAUAUAUAUAUAUAUAUAUAUAUAUAUAGAGAGAGAGAGAGAGAGAGAGAGAGAGAGAGAGAGAGNUUCCACUUUGUUUUCGAUGUUCGGGAUUUCGAAUCGACGAUCGGUACCGUUAGAGUUGAUCUAGAGUAUUUGAAGUACCUAGAAAAUAAAUUUUGUGAUUUUUCGAUAUCAUUUGCCUAGUGAUCGAAGGGGCUCAAAAUCAAUAAUCGGAGCCUUCCGUGCUUCCAGGUCGUUUUUUCAUGUUGCGACUUUCGAAUUGUCGAUCGGCUCCAUUAGACUUAAUCUAGAGUACUUGAAGUAUCUAGAAAAUAAAUUUUGUGAUUUUUCGAUAUUAUUUGCCUAGUGAACGAAGGGGCUCAAAAUCAACGGCUAAAAUUAAAAAUCUUACAAAACAUGAUAAUAUGACAUUAAAAUUUUAUAUCAAAGAUAUGAAUCUUGUUUUAUAUAGUAUAAAGAAUUUUCUAUCAAAAUUUCACGUAAUUUGGAUAUUUCUACACCGUUAAACUUGCAAACAGCUCACUACGACCAUUAAAAUUAUUGAUUUUGAGCCUCUUCGGUCACUAGGCAAAUGAUAUUGAAAAAUUAUAAAAUUUAUUUUCUUGGUACUUCAAAUACUCUAGAUCAAGUUUAAUUGAGCCGAUCGACGAUUCGAAAGUCGCAACAUCGAAAACGAUCUGGAAGCACGGAAGGUUCCAUACUUCCAGAAACAUAGUAGCCUCGCAUUAUAUAUAUAUAUAUAUAUAUAUAUAUAUAGAAUUGAGCUUCUAUGCUUUUAAAAGUACCUAAGUCAUUGAUGCUUGUAAGUUUUUAGCCCUUGGAUUAAUAGAUGUGCGGUUAGGAUGAUGUGGGCCCCCUUGGGUUAAGUGGGUGGUUUGUUGAAUAAUAUAAUCUAACGGAUGAAAAUGAUCAAAAUCGUAGAUCUAACGGUAAAAAAUUCACAAGCACAAAGUGCUUGGUGCUUUUACAAGCACCAUAGCCGGACUCUAUAUAUAUAUAUAUAUAUAUAUAUAAUGAGUGGUUAAGAUGAAAGGGAAAAGAGUAAUUGGAGAGAAAUUGGAUUUCUCAAUUUCUCUUCUCUUUGAAUUUCUCUUCAAUAUCUCUUCUCUCAUUCACCCUACCCAUCCAUCAAAUUUGAUGGGCGGUUAAGAACUUAGGAGUACAAAAACUGCUGUGCUCCUAAUAGCACAGUAGCCCUACUCUAUAUAUAUGUAUAAGUAUUAAUGAGCUGAUCAGAAUCUAUACGUGAGAUCGCUCCAAAUUUGGAACGACUUAGACCAAAUCGGGCCAAGUUUUAAAAUUAGCCCCAACAUUUUCUCAUGAAUUGGGCUGGGCUCGCCCAACGCUUUUAAGAGACCUUUACAAUGUGUAUCAUCUCUUAUGUACAACGUGUGAAUAUAAUGACGACACUAACCAUUUAUCACGUACAAUAUAUAAAUCUUAAAACUUGUAAUAGCUGUAUACAUUGGAGAUCAUACUACUGUUUAGUAAAUUGUUGUUUGAAUAAUAUAUAAUAUAUUAGAAGAAGAAUCGUAUAAUGAAUCAUCACCAUCAUAUUUGCUUGGGCCGGACUUGGGCCAGGUUUUCAUGUCGAGCUGAGGCCGGAUUUGGAUAUGUCCAAAUAGGCCUAAAAUUUUUUCGCGCCUAAAGUUUUAAAUCUGGUCCAAAUCUAAAGUUAUGAUUUCUACAACUAAAGCCCGGGCGUUGCACGAUCUUUUGGGCUGGGCCUUGUUUAGGGCCAGGCCCAGUUCCAACCUAAUCAUAUUUUGUGAAUAUGAUAUUUAUCUAAUAUGAUGUAUAGAAUAUAGGACAAAGAUGGAGUGUUGGAGUAUUUUUAUCAACCGGUCAUAUAGGCCAGAGGGUCGUAUAGGUCUGAGUCCUAGUUAGUAAAUUCGCAAAUUAUUCGUGAAUUAUUCACAAAUUAUUGAAAAUCCGAAUUAAACGGUCCGUUUACGAAUUUUUCCGAAGGAAAGGGAAUUAUUCGCGAAUUUUGGGGCCAGCCGAAUUAUUCGCGAAUUAUUGAUGAAAUAUUAAAAAUAUGAAUAAAAAACUUAUAAUUUUAUUUUUAAAUAUAAAUUAUUUUAUAUUUUAUAUCUUAUAUUUUAUAUUUUAUAUCGAAUCCGUUUUUUAAGCCCAAUUUUUCAACGAAUUUAAAAAUUAAAAAAUAAAUUUUAUACGUAUUAUAUUCAUACUGAAUUUUUACCGAAUCCAAAUUAACUAACUAUGGUCUGAAUAAGGAGAAUUUGUUUGGGACGCAACAAACUCCUUUAACACCGUUUACAGCUGCAAAGUAUUCUCAACGUGAAAAUAUAGAAAUACAGCAUCGAUUCUCGAAUAAGGAAAAAAAAAAAAAAGGAUCGGCAGGGUCCCAAAUAAAGUGACUUAUUUAGAAAAAAGUUUUCUCUUUAUAAAAUUUAUCUGGUGUUUAGUAUUGCAUAGUUCCAGCGUGGAAGAACAAUUUGAUAAUUUGCGGUGACAAGUGGAACAAUUCCGGAUGUUAUCUCGUGUCUGGUACAGGAAAAAUUUUAGAAUGCAACGGGUAUAUUGGUGACGUGGCAUAAUAAAUCAAUCAAAUAUCUCUCUUUAAAAAUAUGUCCCAUCAUGAUUAUAAAAAAGUAUUUUUAUCGUAUUUUUGUUUGAAAAGAAGAAAGGUGAUUGAUUUGUUAUUGAUGAUGUAGUGCAGGUGUGAUAGUGUAGAAUUCCUCCUGGUACAGAGCAGGGCCUCUUUAUGAUAAUGUGCAAUUAAUGUGCAAUUAAUUAAUUUACGUUACGCGCCCCAUGUAAUUUGAGGGCUUAUUUCAAUAUGUGCUGUAGUCCAGAGGAUUUUCAUAUAUUUUUAUCUUUUCUACAAAAUAUUAAUAGUAAUUAAAAAAAAAAUCUAUCAACCAACGCCCAAUCGACAAACUGUAAUAUACGGAACGGGAAACAAACGGCAUAUUUUUUUAUUAUUAUUUUUCAUCACAUGUAACGCAAUGUUCCCGCAAUCUCAAACGCAGCCUAACUACUUCGGUGAGAACAAGCGACCCAUCGCACCGAUUUAAUCAAACGGACACGAUUGAACGAUCACGGAAGUUGGGAUCACCGGGCAGUGACGGCACACGGCUACGCACCAAAUUUAACCGGGGUUUAUAAUAGCCACAGGUGACAACUCAUAGCUCCGGUUAGUUCCGUUAUUGUUAACUAACGGUGACGGAAAUAUUUUGCCUCCGCAACCGUCAAUUGCGGGUCCCACCCCCUCGUCUAUACAUAGCGAAAGGUUAUUCACUCUGACGUUCAGUUUCUCACGGAGCUCUUCGUGGGAUAUUUCUUUUUGACUCUCUCUCUCCCUCCGUUCUGGAAAGGUGUCUUUUUCGAUUCCAGUACCUUCGAAUCGAAGACGAUCAAUUCGAAGGCGAUCUCAUCGUGCACGCUUUGAUCUGAUCCACUUCCUUGCGUAUACAGUGGUAAUUUUUAUCUAACUGAUGCGAUCUCUAGGGUUUACGCUCGUUCUCAUCGACGCGACUGUGAUUUGUAGUGUUUGAUUUGGAUUCCGAUGUAGCUUGUAUGUUUUUGGGUGGAUUUGGUGUCCUUUUCGUGGAUAGGUAUCUGUUUAUUGGUGAUUUAACUGGUUAUUUGCAGAGAUUCCGCUCUGAAUAUCGGUUUGAUGUGUGAUCUUAGGGUUUUUUGGCUUGAUCUUUGUGAUUUAGUUAGUUGCGUCGUGUUUUAUUUGGAUACCGAUGUGGUUUGCAUGAUUUUUGGGUGGAUUUUUUGUCUUUUUCGUGGAUAGUUGUCUGUUUAUUAGUGAUUUAAUUAGUUUUGUGGAGAGAUUCAGAUCUGAAUAUCCGUUUGAUGUGUGAUAGUAGUUCUUUUGCUUGAUCUAUUUGUUUUGGUUAGUCGCGUCGUUUUGGGUGGAUUUUGUGUGCAUUUUCUGUGUUUGCUGGUGAUUUAGACUGGCUUUGUUGAGAGAAUUAGCUUCGAACAUUGGUUUGAUGUGAUUUUAGUUAUUUAGCUUCCGAUAUCUGUGUUUUAGUUACUGUUUGUUGCUUUUUAUGCGAUUAUGUUAGUUCGGCUGUAAUCCCAUGGUUGAUCAUUGUUUUCAGUGCUUUCCCUUUGGUACUGCUUUAAUUUAUUGAGCUAUUUGUGUACCCUAAGGUUUGCUUUACUCUUUGAUUUUGUGUCUAUGAUGUUUAUUUUUUGCGUUCCUGAUUGUGUUUGAUUUCGAGGUGCAGUGCCAUGGCUCACUAUUUGAAUGACGAUUUAGAAUUUGUUAAUGACGACUACUUUGAUUUUGUCGAGUUCGAUGAUGAAGGCUUCGAGAUUGACUAUGAAGAGGAAGGCCAUGAUGCCGACCUGGAUGGCCUUGGUAGUCCGGUAUGGCUUCAACCUGAUGUAUUUCUUAGCGAGUUAUUAUCGAUUUUCGGACCUUGCAAAGUUUCAUCUUGUUUCUGUAAUUGUUCAGAGUGCACAAAAGAAUGAUACAACGGCUUUUGAGUAUAGAAAUGGGAAAGAUAUGCAAGGGAUACUGUGGGAGGGGUUGAAUCAUACCAGGGAUGAGUAUCGUGAAAUGAGGCUGAAGCAGUAUAGGAAUUAUGAGAACCUUUCAAGACCACAUGAUUCAUUGCAGAAGGUUAGUGCAUCUAUGAGAGGUUACAAGGAUUUAAGUGCCGUGGCACGGGGUUGUGCCGGAAAUUUGCCGGCACGGUACGGCACGGUGCGUGCCAAGCCGUGCCGAUGCGUGCCGGUCAAAAAAUUUUUGUGUGCUGCCACAUAACAGCAUGAAAUAUUUAUUUUCUUUAGCAACAAAAUAUUCUAACUAUUUAUUAAGUCUUUUUAUCACAUCUUUUGAACUUUAUUGAGGAAAUUACUUAUUAAUUUAAAAAAUAGAGGGUUUUGAGCUGUGCCAUUGGCACGGGGUCUGUAUUGUACAGGUAUCUUGUUGGCACGGUACGGCAUGGUGGAUAUGGUCCGUGCCGACGGGCACUUAAAACCUUGAGAGGCUAUACUGUGCUUGACCCUGGCAUUGGUUGUUUGCUUGUUACUAAAUCUGCUAUUUCUCCUGCAUUUAGGAAUGCAAACAAGUUGAGAGGAAAAGCACAUUCUAUGAUUUUCAGUUCAAUACGAGGCUUGUGAAAUCGACCAUUGCGCACUUUCAGGUACUGAUCUUCUUCAGUUGCUUUUUCCAUUAUAUUUUUAAUGGAGCAUUGCUUUUGUUGCCUCUUUGGGUACCGACUAGCCUUGCUGGUAAUUGUCUAGGAAUUUUAUCGUUAUUUCACUAUUGAGCAUAUCUAAUUGUGAUUCACUGAUGGUUUUACCACCUCAUUAAGCUAAUCAGCAAUAGCUAUUUCCAUGCCUUUCUUACGUAACUUUACCAAUUACAUUCCCUCUCUGACAUAUAACACUCAAUACUUGAUAAAAAUUAGUCACAGAUGUAGAUUAGAAUAUUUGUGAAAUGUGCAUCGUAAUGUUUAAGGAUUAAGCAUUGUCCCCCUCCUUUUACAGUCAGAAAAAAAAAAGCCCUAGCUCUUGGGUAAAUCUUAAUUAAAUGGAUGUAAGACCAUGGCCUGUUAACAUUAGGCAUGUUCCAUGACUGACCUAUAUUCCCAGGAAAGAAGUACUUUUAGAGCACCAUAUCUACUAGGAUUGAGAUAAUUAUAUGGAUCUGCGACUGACUAACUAUUGAACAUAAAUCCUUUUUUUGGCCCCAAAACGACUCUAUUCUUUGUGCUAAGUCUUUCAGUUUUGCAGGUCCUCUUUAAUUGCUAUUAUUAGUACAUUUGAAUAUUAGAUAUAUUUAUGACAUAAUGAAGCUUUCAUAUCAUCAGACAUCAUUUUUGUUGCUAGGGAAGGUAAGCUACUCCCUAAUGCAAUAAUAAUUUUAUUUUAUUUUUUGUUUUCACAUAACUAGUAGUAGUGUUGAUUAACUUGUGCAGCAAGUAGAUAGCCAUUUUUCAUUUUGGUUAUUUGCUGGGGUGUGUGCAUGCUGAAGACACGUCUUCUUAAACUAAUAAACCAAACAAAUGCUAUUUAUUAUUGUUCCACUAACUUUUCAGUUUUGAACAGCUGGAUCUCAUGAGGUGUAAUAACAUCACUUGCUGAAAAGAUGUCAAUGUUAUAAUAUCUUCAGUAUAGAUGGCAAACUGCUCAAGAAGUAUUAGAAACUAUUUUAUUCUUUAUUUUCCUCAGAUGUUCUCUAUGAUUUCUAUGGUCUUCAAAGCUUGUUAUAUUAUUAUAGGCAUUAUUCUUCAGUAAACUUUUAAGUUGGCUCAUCCCCCCAUCCCCCCCGUUUGUGUGUCUCUUCUUUAGUUUUUCACUUUAGUUUUCAAUUUGUGCUUCUUUUUUUUUUCUUUUUUUUUUUUUUUUUUAAUCUUGUUUCUUUCCAUAAUCCAAUGGAUGCUGCCAUGUCUGAAUGUUGCCCACAUGUUCCCCCCCCAAUUCUUACUAUGCUUUUAAUUUAUUAAUUGGCAAUGAUACAGUUACCCACAUGUUUGCGCAACAAAUCUGCAUUUUCUCUACGUGCCUCUCUUAUUUCACAUUUUAGUAGAAUGUUAGUGAUAAGGGUGGACCUUCAUACGGGUGCCUCUUCCUUCAAGUUGUCAAGUGUCUUGUUUUUAUCUUUAAUUUUCCUGAAGUUUCAUUAUUAUUCUUUACUGCGUCCUUGAUAUGUGGGUAUUAUGUGCUGAAACAUAAUUACUGAGUGUAGACUCAUGUUCUCUCUUUGUUUUCAUUGCUUGCAGUUAUAGUGAUCGUGUUGUACUAGAUAGAUAGAUAGUUAUGUGAUUUGGCAAUUAACACAUCCUUUGAUACUAGGAGUGCAUCAUAUAACAUUUCUGUCAGGCACUAAAAGCAGGGUGGAAGUGCUUUCCCAGCAGCUGGCGUUAUGAGAGCACCUUUUCAAAAUGGUAUGAUAGGAUGUUCUAUGAUCAGUGAGCCUCUCUGUUAAAUAAGUGCCCAGUUUUUGUUAGCAAGCUUGGGCAUGAAAGGGGCUAACAAAAAUUUUCUUGCAGGAUUUUGUUCGUCAGGCAUUACAUAUGUUUUU